rnacentral:misc_RNA from 1 species
GAUGAAGAACGUAGCGAAAUGCGAUAAGUAAUGUGAAUUGCAGAAUUCAGUGAAUCAUCGAAUCUUUGAACGCACCUUGCGCUCCUUGGUAUUCCGAGGAGCAUGCCUGUUUGAGUGUCAUUAAAUUAUCAACCUUAUUAGCUUUUGCUGAUAAUGGCUUGGAUGUGGGGUUUCUUUUGCUGGCUUUCCUAUAGUCAGCUCCCCUAAAAUGCAUUAGCCGGUGCUUUGUUAGAACUGUCUAUUAGUGUGAUAAUUAUCUACGCUGUGGACAGGUCUACUUAUUUUAUGAGCACUGCUUCUAACUGUCUAUUAAAUUGGACAAUACAUUGACAAUUUGACCUCAAAUCAGGUAGGACUACCCGCUGAACUUAAGCAUAUCAAUAAGCGGAGGA